rnacentral:pre_miRNA from 1 species
ACUCUCUCAAAGUGGCUGUGAAAUGCGUCCUUCACUGUAUAAGGGAAGAACCCUUUUUCGCAUAUCACAGCCAGCUUUGAAGAGCGUCA